UACGUAGGGCGCAAGCGUUGUCCGGAAUUAUUGGGCGUAAAGAGCUCGUAGGCGGUUUGUCGCGUCUGCUGUGAAAACCUAAGGCUCAACCUUGGGCUUGCAGUGGGUACGGGCAGACUAGAGUGCGGUAGGGGUGACUGGAAUUCCUGGUGUAGCGGUGGAAUGCGCAGAUAUCAGGAAGAACACCCGUGGCGAAAGCGGUUCUCUGGGACGGUACUGACGCUGAGACGCGAAAGCGUGGGGAGCGAACAGG
rnacentral:rRNA from 1 species